GACCUUUGGCAGCACAUAUACUAAAAUUGGAACAAUACAGAAAAGGUUAGUAUGGCCCCCGCACAAGGAUGACAAGCAAAUUCAUGAAGCAUUGCAUAUAUAU